GAAUUUGUGCUUGACUCGUUGAUUACUAAAUGAAGCAAUGGCUUGAGAAUAAGUAUUGUCUCUUCACUAUAGAAAAUAAGAAAUUCUUCAUUCUCUUUCGCAUUACAUUGAUAGUUUGUUUUCUCUUUUUGUAUUGUUAGUUGAAAAUAAAUUAUGCUUUCACGGAAAAAGAAGUUGUAAUAUGGGGUCAUAUUUUUAUCGGAG
rnacentral:lncRNA from 1 species